rnacentral:RNase_P_RNA from 1 species
UCAUCGCUGCUAUAAAUUUUUAUAGGAGAGGAAAGUCCGAGCAACGCAGAGCAUUUUACUUCCUAACGGGAAGAUAUAAAAAGGAAUUUUUAUAAUAGAAAGUGCAACAGAAAAUAUACCGCCAUCUCUGAUGGUAAGGGUGAAAUAGUGAGGUAAAAGCUCACUUGCGAUUUGGUGACAGGUCGUAUGGCAAACCUUAAAAGUUGAAAGAUCAAAUAGGUGUUUUAUAGGCUGCUCGUCUAAUGAACAUGGGAGGAUCGAUAGACGUUAUGAGUGAUCAUAAUGCUAGAUAAAUGAUGAUCAUGCAAUUUUUUGCAUACAGAACUCGGCUUAUAGGCCCAUU